GAACUGCGAUAAGUAAUGUGAAUUGCAGAAUUCAGUGAAUCAUCGAGUCUUUGAACGCACAUUGCGCCCCCUGGCAUUCCGGGGGGCAUGCCUGCCCGAGCGUCAUUGCUGCCCUUCAAGCCCGGCUUGUGUGUUGGGUCGUCGUCCCCUCCGGGGGACGGGCCCGAAAGGCAGCGGCGGCACCGCGUCCGGUCCUCGAGCGUAUGGGGCUUUGUCACCCGCUCGAUAAGGACCGGCCGGGCGCCAGCCGGCGUCUCCAACCUUUUUUUCUCAGGUUGACCUCGGAUCAGGUAGGGAUACCCGCUGAACUUAAGC
rnacentral:misc_RNA from 1 species